rnacentral:tmRNA from 1 species
GGGGACGAUUUGGAUUCGACGCCGGUGCCAAAACCUUGGGUGCAUGCCGUGAUGUCAGCGAAUCACGUAAAAUCAAAGCUGAAAUUUAUUAGUUGCCAACGACGACAACUACGCUCUAGCAGCUUAGGCUGCUAGCAGUCACCAACGGAUGUUUGUAAACGGAAAGUGACUGUCAUAUAGAACAAACUAGCCAGCAACGUAUGCUUAUGACCGAGCGGUGAAACACUUAAUAAGACAGCCUAUUUCGUCCUGCCCAUCGGGCUGAAUGUGGUUAAAUUAAUUGAUGGAACUAAGCAUGUAGAGCCUCUGGCAGAGGGCUGACGGACGCGGGUUCAAAUCCCGCCGUCUCCACCA